CACGUAGGGGCCAAGCGUUGUCCGGAUUUAUCGGGCGUAAAGAGCUCGUAGGCGGUUUGGCAAGUCGGGUGUGAAAACUCCGGGCUCAACUCGGAGACGCCACUCGAUACUGCCAUGACUCGAGUCCGGUAGGGGAGUGCGGAAUUCCUGGUGUAGCGGUGAAAUGCGCAGAUAUCAGGAGGAACACCCGUGGCGAAGGCGGCUCUCUGGGACGGUACUGACGCUGAGACGCGAAAGCGUGGGGAGCGAACAGG
rnacentral:rRNA from 1 species